AGUGAACGCUGGCGGCGUGCUUAACACAUGCAAGUCGAACGGAUUAAGGAGCUUGCUUCUUUAGUUAGUGGCGCACGGGUGAGUAAUAUAUAGCUAACCUGCCCUUUAGUGGGGGACAACAGUUGGAAACGACUGCUAAUACCCCAUACUCCUUUUCAUCAUAUGGUGGAUUGGGAAAGAUUUAUCGCUAAAGGAUGGGGCUUUAUUGUAUCAGCUAGUUGGUGGGGUAAUGGCCUACCAAGGCAAUGACGCAUACCUGGUCUGAGAGGAUGAUCAGGCACACUGGAACUGAGACACGGUCCAGACUCCUACGGGAGGCAGCAGUGGGGAAUAUUGCACAAUGGAGGAAACUCUGAUGCAGCAACGCCGCGUGGAGGAUGACGCAUUUCGGUGUGUAAACUCCUUUUAUAGGGGAAGAUAAUGACGGUACCCUAUGAAUAAGCACCGGCUAACUCCGUGCCAGCAGCCGCGGUAA
rnacentral:rRNA from 1 species